rnacentral:rRNA from 1 species
UACGGAGGAUGCGAGCGUUAUCCGGAUUUAUUGGGUUUAAAGGGUGCGUAGGCGGCCUGCCAAGCCAGCGGUAAAAUUGCGGGGCUCAACCCCGUACAGCCGUUGAAACUGCCGGGCUCGAAUGGGCGAGAAGUAUGCGGAAUGCGUGGUGUAGCGGUGAAAUGCAUAGAUAUCACGCAGAACCCCGAUUGCGAAGGCAGCAUACCGGCGCCCUACUGACGCUGAGGCACGAAAGUGCGGGGAUCAAACAGG